CAGGGGCCGUGCCUUUCUGUAGCCUCACCCCUCAGCUGUCUCCACCCAUUCUGUAACACUCUUGCAUCACCUCAUCAGGGCAUUGCAUCUUGGGUAAUGUGAUGGCAGGCAGCCCCCAGUCGUGGGAGCUGAGCAACUCCCACUGUCCCACUCAAAAAGGCAUUUACUGCAUCAUCUGCCUUCUGUGCCAGAUCCAGCAGCCAAUGAGUGAGUAGCAGCAGGCUGUACAGAGGCGAGGCAGAGAAAGUCUGCACAGACUUUGAAAGUGUUUGGGCACUUUUGGAGCUUGAAAUGGACAACUGAAAUUGAAGAGGUGGUUGGGGGCGCUGGAAGCAGCUGGCGAUACAAACAAAUGAAACAAACCACGAAGCAAAUUUAAUAAGCAAAUCAUGAGAAUGAUAGUAAAGCACAGCAAAGCAAUGCAUUGGCAGGCAAAAUUGCAACGAUAGCGGCUAAAAAUGUACAGUCUCCAUCUUGCACAAGAAGUGCAUCAAAAGGUGCUUUUGGUGAACGGCGUAAGUGGAGUUCUGCAACAGAGACAGUUCCCUCCUCAUUCACUACCUCACCUCAGAAAGCAAGGGAUGCCCAGAGGGAGACCUCCUUAAGUGCACAGGCUUGGUUAUCGAUUGGCAAUGCUGUGGAGACUUCAAAGCGUGUGGCAGCUGAAGAAGUGAAAUUGGUAUAAGGAUCCACCUUUUAGUGUAGGAUCAUGUGGCAGCAGUCCUAUGGACACUUAUCUGGAAGAAAGUAAGCUGGGCUGACUUUUAGGGAGGCAUGCGCAGAAUUGCACUGUGUGUCCAUAGUUAAUGAGUUUGCUACAUUCAGGCAUACUUUCUGUAACACCAGCUUCAACUGAGUAACACACAGUACAGUGGUACCUCGGGUUAAGUACUUAAUUCGUUCCGGAGGUCCGUUCUUAACCUGAAACUGUUCUUAACCUGAAGCACCACUUUAGCUAAUGGGGCCUCCUGCUACUGCUGCGCCACCAGAGCAUGAUUUCUGUUCUCAUCCUGAAGCAAAGUUCUUAACCCGAGGUACUAUUUCUGGGUUAGCGGAGUCUGUAACCUGAAGCGUAUGUAACCUGAAGCAUAUGUAGCCCGAGGUACCACUGUAUAUAAAGGUAAAGGUACCCCUGCCCGUACGGGCCAGUCUUGACAGACUCUAGGGUUGUGCGCCCAUCUCACUCAAGAGGCCGGGGGCCAGCGCUGUCCGGAGACACUUCUGGGUCACGUGGCCAGCGUGACAUCACUGCUCUGGCGAGCCAGAGCCGCACACGGAACGCCGUUUACCUUCCCGCUAGUAAGCGGUCCCUAUUUAUCUACUUGCACCCGGGGGUGCUUUCAAACUGCUAGGUUGGCAGGCGCUGGGACCGAACAACAGGAGCGCACCCCGCCGUGGGGAUUCGAACCGCUGACCUUUCGAUCGGCAAGCCCUAGGCGCUGAGGCUUUUUACCCACAGCACACCACUGUGUAUAGAACUAUGUAAAAAUUAAGACGGACGCAAAAAUGUUUAUUGCAUUGUGAAAUUCAGUGGACGGGUUUUGGGGGUUUCCCCCUUUCUUUUUUGUGCUUUUUCUUUAAUAAAUUCAAAAUUUAAAACAUCAUUUAAAAAAACGAUUUACCAUUGCCAUGUAGCUGUGGCAUUAUGAGCUUAAAGAACCUUC
ensembl:lncRNA